AAUGUCAUAUUUCUGCGCUUUAAAAGUACCGAGAAGCAUUUUCUCGGAACAUAUGGACGUCUGUACAAGAAACUUCGGUGUGGGGCUUGCUUUGGAAAUUGUCACAUCCCAGAGCCUACCCCCAGGGAUGCAUCCUGCGGCGCUGCGGGCGCCGGGGGUUCCACGCCCGCCCGGGCGGGAGGACGGGCGCUAGAUGGAGCUGCCUCCAAGGCUCGGUGCGGAGCGGCUCCUCCAGGGAUGCUUCCGAGCCCCGAGAAUGGCAACUCACCGCUGCGCUGAGGGCUGAAAUGAGGUCUGUUCAGGAAUUUGCCAGUGGAGUGUGUCAAGGGUGUUUUCCUGUCCUAGUUACCAAACACCUGAAGGGCAUGAAAAUUCUACCUUGGUUUAAAAGCACUUGAAAAACAGGUUAAAUAAAGGUAAAUUGUUCUCCA